AUGUUUUUGUUUUGUUUAACAGUGCUGUAGGGGUUGAUGUUUUUGUUUUGUUGAAUGACCAAUUCCCAAUUUGCUCUAAGUCCUCGUCGUGGCGUAGUGACUCACCACAAUCCGGGUGGCGGAGGACGAAUCUCAGUUGCCUCCAGGUCUGAGACUGUCAAUCCUUGCAUCUUAUCACGUGGCUUGUUAAGUGCGUUACCGCAGAAACAUAGCGCGUGUGGAGGCUUCACACUAUUCUCUGCAGCAUCCACGCUCCCACCAAGAGUGAACCACAUUAUAGCGACCAGGAGGAGGUUACCCCAUGUAACUCUAGCCUCCCUAGCAACUGGGCCAGUUUGGUUGUUUAGGAGACCUGACUGGAGUCACUCAGCAUGCCCUGGAUUAGAACUCGCGACUCCAGGGGUGGUAGUCAGCAUCUUUACGCGCUGAGCUACAUAGGCCCCCAGCAGUGUGAUGAAAUUUUUGUUUUGUUUGAACAGUGCAAUGGUGGUUGUUUAUGUUUGUUUCGUUUUUGUUUGAACAGUGCGAUGACAGUUGAUUGUUUGUUUUGACAGUGUGAUGACAGAUAAUUGUUUUGUUUUGUUCAAACAGUGCCAUGGUGGUUUAUGUUUGCUUUGACAGUGCGAUAGGGGCUGAUAUUUUUGUUUAGUUUAAAGGUGUGAUGACAGUUGAUUGUUUGUUUUGUUUGAGCAGUGUGAUGAUGGUUAAAGUUUUUGUUUUGUUUGAGCAGUGUGGUGAUAGUUGAAAUUUUUGUUUUGUUUAAACAGUGUGAUGGUGGUUGACGUUGUUUGUUUAGUUUUUGUUUGAACAGUGUGAUGACAGUUGAUUGUUUGUUUUGACAAUGUGAUGACAUAAUAGUUUUGUUUUGUUCAAACAGUGCCAUAGUGGUUUAUGUUUGUUUCGACAGUGCGAUGGGGCUGAUGGUUCUGUUUAGUUUAAAUGUGCGAUGACAGUUGAUUGUUUUGUUUUGUUUGAGCAGUGUGAUGAUGGUUGAGGUUUUUGUUUUGUUUGAACAGUGCAAUGGUGGCUGUUGUUUGUUUAGUUUGACAGUGCAAUGACAGUUGAUUGUUUUGUUCUGUUUUGUUUAAACAGUGCGAUUGUGGUUGUUGUUUGUUUAGUUUUUGUUUGAACAGUGCGAUGGUGGUUGUUGUUUGUUUAGUUUUUGUUUGAACAGUGCGAUGAUAGUUGAUUGUUUGUUUUGACAAUGUGAUGACAGAUGAUUUUGUUUUGCUCGAACAGUGCCAUGGUGGUUUAUGUUUGUUUUACAGUGCAACAGUGGCUGAUGUUUAUGUUUAGUUUAACAGUGCGAUGACAGUUGAUUGUUUUGUUUGAGCAGUUUGAUGAUAGUUGAAGUUUUUGUUUUGUUUAAACAGUGCAAUGGUGGUUGUUGCAUGUUUAGUUUUUUUUUAACAGUGUGAUGACAGUUGAGUGUUUGUUUUGACAAUGUGAUGACAGAUGAUUGUUUUGUUUUGUUCGAACAGUCCUAUGGUGGUUUAUGUUUGUAGUGACAGUGCGACGGGCUGAUUUUUUGUUUAGUUUAAAGGUGCAAUGACAGUUGAUUGUUUUGUUCGAGCAGUGUGAUGAUGGUUGAUGUUUUUGUUUUGUUUGAUCAGUGCUAUGUUGGUUGAUGUUUGUUUUGUUUUGUUUGACAGUGCGAUGGCAGUGGAGAGCAUGACCAUCGCAGCUCCUGAUGUUUGGAUGGGGAAGCUCUUCCUGUCUAACGGACUGAUCGAGCAGAUUAGUGAUUUCCACACUGAGUCUUAAAGGAUUUCCUGACGCAAACACAUUCCUCACUGUACGUGAUGAUUAUAUUUACCACACCGCAAACCUGCGAAGGCCAGAGGUUGGAGAUGUGCGUGUGCAAUUUGCGUACACUGGCCUCAGUGGUGAUGGACUCUGUCCUGGUCCUGCUCACAAGGUGAGUAUUGUGGCGAAGCAGCAUAGUGAUAAACUGAUGCCCUUCAGGACUCAUUCAGGUGAUUCACUGGAGAUCUGGUAUAUGGGAAGUGUUUGCUAAAGAAAUAAGCUAAACGUUAUGAAGACGUGGAUGCUCAUGUUUCUGGGUGUCAGUCUGAGCACACCCAUCAUAUACACACCUGGUAACAUCAAAAUAUCCAGGUCAUGUUUAACCUCAAUACAAAACAAUAUCUAUAUAUACAGUACAUGAAAUUAUAUUUUGAAUAGUCUAAAUUUAGGACCAUUAUGAUUUUUUGCAUUGUGCAAUUAUUUUAAGGACACUUAACCCCCCAAUUCUCAUUACUGUAAUGUGUCUGGACAUUUUAUCUUUAUUAUAACACAUUAUUUUCAGUGAUAAUUUCCUAAAACAUUACUGUAAAAAAAGAUCUGCAAAGAUUUUGAAAACAAGUGAAAAUGAAAGGCAGUACCAAGUGAGAACUACUAUAAUGUAUAAAUAGUUAAAAUACAAUUUUGUUUUUUGUGUUGUAGUAAUGAGAAUUUGAGGGUAAAACGUGCUAUU